rnacentral:rRNA from 1 species
UCCAGACUCCUACGGGAGGCAGCAGUGGGGAAUAUUGCACAAUGGGGGAAACCCUGAUGCAGCGACGCCGCGUGAGUGAAGAAGUAUUUCGGUAUGUAAAGCUCUAUCAGCAGGGAAGAAAAUGACGGUACCUGACUAAGAAGCCCCGGCUAACUACGUGCCAGCAGCCGCGGUAAUACGUAGGGGGCAAGCGUUAUCCGGAUUUACUGGGUGUAAAGGGGGCGUAGGUGGCAUGGUAAGCCAGAAGUGAAAACCCGGGGCUCAACCCCGCGGAUUGCUUUUGGAACUAUCAGGCUGGAGUGCUGGAGGGGUAAGCGGAAUUCCUAGUGUAGCGGUGAAAUGCGUAGAUAUUAGGAGGAACACCGGUGGCGAAGGCGGCUUACUGGACAGAAACUGACACUGAGGCUCGAAAGCGUGGGGAGCAAACAGGAUUAGAUACCCGAGUA